GUGCUCGUAGCCAUCUUUUCGACAGAAACGUAUCCAAGUUCGCAUUCAAUCCAAUCCACAGUUUUGGCGCGAACAGCGGCAGUCUACUAAUGUGGUUACCUAUUUUUCGAGACAGACUAAAUAAUGCUUGUACAAGCCUUCCAUGCAUCUGAUGCAAAAGAGGACACCACAGCCUCUCAAGACGUUGCUGUAAAGAUGUCCAGCCCAACGGAUCAACUGUGUGAACCAGAUGUAACAGGUGCCACUGACAUUUGCCAUCAUCCAGUUCCUUCUUGUCUCGAAGGCUCUGAGUCUGGCCACAUGUUCCAUGUUAACAAUGAGGAGCAUCUGAAUGAGAAUAUUGUGGCCGACACUAAUACUGAUAUUCAAUGCAAACCGAAGUUGGCAGAACAGACAAUAGAAGCAAAAACUGACCCUGUCAACUCCAUUAACCAUUGUGGUUGGGGUGACGGCAAGCCAGAUCAACUCUGCAAAGAUAAUUCUCAAUGUGAGUCCCGGGAACAUGGUAGUGCUCUUCAGUGUAAUUCACCAUCAGAGAAAUGGAUGGCACAAGCAGAAUGUGACUCUUCAGUUAGCCCAUGUGAGACGUCUGAUCACGGACCCUGCCCCAUGAUGAAAGAUACAAGGGAUGUAGAUGAAUCGAAAGUCAAUGAGGCAAUUGAUCAGUUCUGUCCCAUUGACAAACAUAUUGAGCAUCAUCAGGGCCUCGAUGAAGUUUUUGCAAGAAUGGCUCAGUCCUCUUCGGAAGAUGAACAGGAAGGGGACCUGGAAACAGGAUGUUGCUCAAAGAAGCCUGCCAAGAGAGCACAACAAGAGCUGCAGGAAAUCUACUCUGAAGGCCAGCGGAUGAUUAGAGAAUCACCACUUUCCCUGCCUUACCACAAUCCUCCUCGGUUGUCAUUGAAGGAGUUUCUUUCUAUGAGGAGAGGGAAGACUGACAUGUUGCCGCAGCGUUCACUUACUCCGUUACGCAGCUCAACGGACGGUGAGAAGCAGACCACACCAGAUGAGAAACAGGCAACACAGGGGAAUACGUGUCUGCUGUUGAAAGAGCAGCUGUUGACAACAGAUCUGGUUGGAGUGACACCUCAGUUGAGUGGUGGGCCUUUGGUGAUUAGUGCAUCGCCAGGAAUUUGUGACCUGAUGCAGCGCUUCACUAAACAUGCUUCCUCUCAUGAGAAGAGUAAGAAAGAUAGAUGUGCUGAACAACCUUCAGAACAGAGUCCGUCUUCCACACCAGUGCAGAAACGUAGAAGGCUAAAAGAGCAGCUUCUACAACAGAUGAUGGAGAAACGUGAGAAGGUACUGGAGGAACGAUUGAGGCAGCGCAAGGUGUAUGAGGAAGAAGUGGAAGAGGAGGAAGAAGCUCUUUCUAAUUCAGAAAGUGAAGAAAGUGCUGUAGAAGACCAAGACAUAGAUGCAGUAAGUGAAGCAGAUGCCCAAGAGGACAGCAUUGUUGAGGAAGAAGAUGAAGAGGACAUUGUAAGCUUCAGAAAACGGCCAAAGAGGUGCAACCCUUUCAUUGAAGACGAGGCUGAAGAUGCCAAAGAGUAUGAAACAGGGGAAGAGGGGGAAGAUGAGGAACAAGUUGAAAAUAAUGAAGAAAGGGAUGAAGGAGUGGAAAAUGUAGGGGAAGACAAGGAGGAAGAAGAAAACUUUCUUGAAGACAAGGAACCUGAAGGGGAAAAGACAAGCUUGUGGGACUCAACUCUGGAUGACCUCAAUGUAUUUAGUCCGAUCAGUGGUCUCACCAAUGUGCGGUACCAGGGUCAGCAUAACAAGAACUUUGCAUCAUGCGCAUCAUCUCCGGCAAAUUCUCUGGUAUCUCUGUCUCCACUGCAUCACCCUGAACUCAUAUUUGACAAAGGUGCACAUGCAUCAGAACCACCAAUGAGCAAAGCACUCUGGAUGAGCAGCCAGCAGGCAUCUACCCAACAAGAAAUGGAUGAGCUGAUUGGUUUGUGUUCCGGAUCAUUCGAUGCCAGAGCCAGUGUCGAUCAAGAUUCAUCGAAACUGGAAGAUGACAAUGAUGAAGAACAUGAAGGCGAUUCUGAAUGUGCUGAUGAUAGAGGUGGCGAAGAUAGUGAGAUCGAAGAUGUUCCCGUUGCUCCUAGCGAUAAAAAAAAAGGGUUUCGUGCUCAAGAUUUCUUUGAGGAUGAAGCUGAGCUAUCAGGCAGUGAUGUGGGUAGUGAUGAUGAGGAAGAUGAUACAGAUGAAGAACAACAGCUGGCAGAUCUCUUGGCAGCCGACACACAGCCAUUAGAUGAAGAAGGCAUCAGAGAGGAAGUUGGCAGGCUCCAUUUCAAGCACCUUCUUGACCAGGACAAACGGGAGCUGAAAAUCUACCAAGAAAUGCUGUUGGAAGAUGGUGAUUUGCACAGUGAGGGAGGUGGGAGACAACGCAAGUUUCGUUGGAAAAGUGCGGAUGCUGCUUUUGUUGAUGGUCCAAGAGAUUCUGACAGUGAAGGGGAAGAGGCAGGAAAUGAAGAUGUGGCAUGGCGUCUACAAAGGUUCGAGAGGGAGCAGUGGUUACGAGAUCAGGAACGCAAAGAAUCGCCGAAGAAAAUGCAUACCAACAAGUUGCGUGUUGUGACAUCUGUCAAAAGGCAGGAGAAAGAAAGAACAGAAAAGGUGGUAUGUGGAUCCUUCCUAAGGAUGGGCAGCAAUGCAUUGACUAGGAUUGCUGAGCGAUUGAAGGUCAACAGGCAUGUUGACAACACUGGAGCUCUUACUACUAAGAACUUUGUCUUCAGAUCGGUUGAUAAAAAGUGCAGUUUGUGACCAUCUCCUAGCAAAGCUAGGACAACAGUUGCCCCAGGAACGUUUCUAACUGUCUGCAAGGAUGGCCGACACGAUGCUCUCGUGACCUGGUGAAGGCUCCGUGCCUUGUUUCUUUGCCUUUUUCUUGGCAGAUCAUGCGCCGCUUAUACAUGCUUGGUGCUGCUGUACGUCACUGGUCCCGUGAGGAGAGUAGCAUACAUCACGACAUCCUCUCAUUCUGCGCUCUUUUCACGAAGAGAAGGGUUUUUCAAAGAAAGAAUUCAAGAGACCAUCUUCAAUUCCUCUCAUUGCUCCAAGCUGCAAGAAAGUGAAAGUUUCACCACUCCAAAGCUCCAG